UACGAGGGGGGCAAGCGUUGUUCGGAAUUAUUGGGCGUAAAGGGCGCGUAGGCGGUGCGGUAAGUCUGAUGUGAAAUCUCCGGGCUCAACUCGGAGUCUGCAUCAGAAACUGCCGCGCUCGAGUGCGAGAGAGGUCAGUGGAAUUGCAGGUGUAGCGGUGAAAUGCGUAGAGAUCGGAAAGAACACCAACGGCGAAAGCACUCUGCUGGGCCGACACUGACACUGAGAGACGAAGGCUAGGGGAGCGAAUGGG
rnacentral:rRNA from 1 species